GAUGAACGCUGGCGGCGUGCCUAAUACAUGCAAGUCGAGCGAACAGACGAGGAGCUUGCUCCUCUGACGUUAGCGGCGGACGGGUGAGUAACACGUGGAUAACCUACCUAUAAGACUGGGAUAACUUCGGGAAACCGGAGCUAAUACCGGAUAAUAUAUUGAACCGCAUGGUUCAAUAGUGAAAGACGGUUUUGCUGUCACUUAUAGAUGGAUCCGCGCCGCAUUAGCUAGUUGGUAAGGUAACGGCUUACCAAGGCAACGAUGCGUAGCCGACCUGAGAGGGUGACCGCCCACACUGGAACUGAGACACGGUCCAGACUCCUACGGGAGGCAGCAGCAGGGAAUCUUCCGCAAUGGGCGAAAGCCUGACGGAGCAACGCCGCGUGAGUGAUGAAGGUCUUCGGAUCGUAAAACUCUGUUAUUAGGGAAGAACAAAUGUGUAAGUAACUAUGCACGUCUUGACGGUACCUAAUCAGAAAGCCACGGCUAACUACGUG
rnacentral:rRNA from 1 species